rnacentral:piRNA from 1 species
UGGAAGGAAAGACACAGCAGAACUUU